AAUAACUCAGAUUAGAAAUAUGUUAGUGUGACAUGUGCAAUAUCUUCUAGGUUUGGCUUUUAUUUUGAUGGGGGGAUUUCGGGUCCGACGACACGCCCACUGCUGCUGAGCUGCGCGUUGACAGGGAGCACACCUGUGCCACCUAAUUAGUGCAGCAUGUUGGUGGCUUUAUAAAAAGCACAUUUGAGUUUGGCUUUUUAACUUGUCUUCCGUGUGCGUCCUGUGUGGGCAGAAAAGGUCUUCUGGCUAUAUCUUCCUGUCACUUUCCCCUGGUGCGGACAAAGAGCGCUAGCUGCUGUUUCACGUUGCUGCUUAUUGCUGUUUUAAUUAGUUUGUUUAGGUAAAUCUUUCCGAGCUGUUUUUAAACUUGACUUAUUAUUGGGUUACAGUCGGCAUUGUGCAGACGUUGCAGCGAACACUAUCUUUUCUAAUAUUUGGAUGAUCUGUUAGUAAUGCAUUGCCGUAAACAUAUUUUUAGCCCAAGUUUAUUGAAUUAACUGGUUAUCCCUGGAUUGUUAUUUGUAUUGUGCUUUUUUUUUUUUUGCUUCCUUUGUUUUUGAGGCGUAUGUUUACCGCAUAUAUAUCCACUUACGACGAACUGUGAUUAGUGAGGCUUGACAGAGGGAGUGUAUUUGUCUUAUUUUUGGUUUAUCUCUUUUUUUUUUUUUCAAUGUGUUUAAUUAUUAUGCACUGCUUUUGUUGUGUGGUUUGUCCCUCUUGUAAAGGCGGACCUAGUCUAGUUUAUUUAAUUGUCGGUAACUAAUCGGUAAACUGUACAUUUUUAUAUCAAUGUUUAAGAGCAAAUGAUUUUCUUUUUGUUUGUAAAAAGUUGUAUUAAUUUUUUUGGAAAGUCACGUCUGUCUUCAAUCCCAUUGAACCAGCAGGGUCCUUCAUAUUAUUGUAACUUAUUUUUGGUUUAACUUUAUUUUCCUGGGUAACCCAGGUGGCGUAGUCGGUUCUUUUCCCAUUCUUAAUACCUUUUUAGCCAGGAAGGUUGCAUUAGGAAGAAUAUAUAUGUAUGUAUAUGUACAUUGAUGUUACCUGAAUUGUGCUUUGAGUCAGAUCUGUUAAACAUAAGUUUGAUCACUUGAAAUAUUUUUUUUCCUUCAUUCAUAUACAUUAGCUCAUGUUGAUUGGAGACCCUUCUCUUUUGAUAUGCAUUAAGUGGUGUUUAGAGGAAAACACCAGGCCUAAAAAAAAAAAAUUGAGCUUUCCUACUGACGUACGUAUUGUCUUGGUUAGUGGUUGUAGUCACUGUUGUAGACUUUGUAGUAUUUGAUGUAGUGACUGUUGUCAAUACAAAGGAAAAUAGUGUGA